rnacentral:rRNA from 1 species
CCCUUAGAUGUUCUGGGCCGCACGCGCGCUACACUGAUGCAUUCAACGAGUCUAAAACCUGCUCUGAUAGGGGUGGGUAAUCUUUUGAAUGUGCAUCGUGAUUGGGAUAGAUGAUUGCAAUUUUUCAUCUUCAACGAGGAAUGCCUAGUAAACGCAAGUCAUCAGCUUGCAUUGAUUACGUCCCUGCCCUUUGUACACACCGCCCGUCGCUCCUACCGAUUGAAUGAUCCGAUGAAUAUCAUGGAUUGAGGAUGCAAGUAGGUUAGCCUAUCUUCAUCUUCGAGAAGUGAAGUAAAUCUUAUCAUUUAGAGGAAGGAGGAGUCGUAACA